GCGCAGCAGCGAGGCAGGCUCCAGCCUCGGGCAGAGGGAUGGGGACAGCGGCCCUGGGGAGCCCGGCCCUGCAGCAGCAGCAGCGCACAGCUUGUCCCCGCGGGCAGGAGCUCUUGUGCUCCUCUCAUCACAGCCGGGCAUCGCUCAAAGCGAAGCGUUCCUGCCCAACGCGCACAGCGUUCGGAGGGGAGUUCUUUUUGCUCACUCCCUUUUGGUUUUUGUACCGUUUCCAGCAUUUCUGGCAAAAACAUUUCCUCUGACUGUUUUCCUUCUAGAAACAACCUCUUCCAGACAGGGCUGCUCUGCCACCGCGCAGCGGGCAGACGUGCGGCUAUUUCAAUCGCAGGGCUGGAACGUCAGCCAAGCACUUGUCUCGUUCCAAGCGGAGCUGGAGCUGAGGGCACACUGCGGGGUGCACCCUGCCCGGCCCGGGGCUCAGCGGCACCACAGCCCGUGCUGAAUUCAAGGCUUCUGGGGACCGAAUCGGUGACAAAACCCAGCAAGGUUUUAGGAGCAGGUCUUUCUCAGCCUGGUAUUUCUGCCCUCGGCUCCCAGCUCCUGUGCGCUCUGUGGGCAGCGGUUUCAUUGGUUGCCAGGCUGUACGCAGCAGCGCUCGGCAGCAGUCAUCAAAUCCGACAUUCUGCUAACGCGAGGGUAAUUGGUGAUUUUUCUCCCACCCGCUGCAGCCCCUCUGUUCUGCUGGGAGAUGCAGAGUCAUGGCUCUGCCCGCCUGGCUCCCUGCCACCCAACUGCUCCUUUAAAACCCCAUACCUCCCAUUGAAAGAACUCGGUGUCCUGUUCGCCAGGAGGACGUCAGUGUUUCUAUGGAAACUCUUCCCAAAGAUUCUCGCCCGGCGCUGCUGCUGCGUAUUGUAUGACCGGCUUUGUGCACGGCAAUUCAUUAUGGAGGCUGUGACGAAAAGGGAGCAGCUUUCUGCCCAGAGGGAAAAAGCGUUCAAAAAAAAAAACAACCCCAGCAACAACAAGAAACACCUCACUAUUAAUAAAGGAAGCCACUAA
rnacentral:lncRNA from 1 species